CCUACGGGAGGCAGCAGUGAGGAAUAUUGGUCAAUGGACGAGAGUCUGAACCAGCCAAGUAGCGUGAAGGAUGACUGCCCUAUGGGUUGUAAACUUCUGUUAUAGGGGAAUAAAAUGUUCCACGUGUGGGAUUUUGUAUGUACCAUAUGAAUAAGGAUAGGCUAACUCCGUGCCAGCAGCCGCGGUAAUACGGAGGAUCCGAGCGUUAUCCGGAGGUAUGGGGUUUAAAGGGUGCGUAGGUGGAUUGUUAAGUCAGUUGUGAAAGUUUGCGGCUCAACCGUAAAAUUGCAGUUGAAACUGGCAGUCUUGCGUACAGUCGAGGUGGGCGGAAUUCGUGGUGUAGCGG
rnacentral:rRNA from 1 species